ACUUGAUAAAAGGAACUUAGGUCUAAACAAUGACCUUUAAAACUAUAUAUAAACCCUAUAAAACGUCCAGGGACUAAUAAUGCAAAUAGGGAAGUCUUUUGGGGCAAAUUUCCACUUUUGUAAACUUGAAAGCGUAUUGGACUUUUCUGGGCCGAAACUGGUGUCGAUCUCUGAAUCUGAAAUCUGAAAUCAUCCUUAGCUCCCUUUCCUUAGCUUUUGCUCCAAAAUGUCUCCUCAUCUCCAUUGUUGUCCCACUGCAUAGAAUACCUGAAAAGACUCUAAAAAGACUCGAGAAAUAACAAAAAGACUCAAAAUCCUAAACCUAAAACAUAGAUAAAAUCAAUAAAAACAGGGUUAUAUCAACUCCCCCAGACUUAGCUUUUGCUUGCCCUCAAGCAA
rnacentral:sRNA from 1 species